CAGUAGCCGCGGUAAUACGGAGGGUGCAAGCGUUAAUCGGAAUUACUGGGCGUAAAGCGCACGCAGGCGGUCCGACAAGUCAGAUGUGAAAUCCCCGGGCUUAACCUGGGAACUGCAUUUGAAACUGUCAGGCUGGAGUCUUGUAGAGGGGGGUGGAAUUCCAGGUGUAGCGGUGAAAUGCGUAGAGAUCUGGAGGAAUACCGGUGGCGAAGGCGGCCCCCUGGACAAAGACUGACGCUCAGGUGCGAAAGCGUGGGGAGCAAACAGGAUUAGAUACCCCUGUAGUCCCUGUCUCUUAUAU
rnacentral:rRNA from 1 species